rnacentral:rRNA from 1 species
GACGAACGCUGGCGGCGUGCUUAACACAUGCAAGUCGAACGAUGAAGCUGGAGCUUGCUCCGGUGGAUUAGUGGCGAACGGGUGAGUAACACGUGAGAAAUCUGCCCUUCACUCUGGGAUAACUGCGGGAAACUGUAGCUAAUACCGGAUACUUUCCUUGGUGGGCAUCCACUAGGGAAGAAAGAAUUUCGGUGAAGGAUGAUCUCGCGGCCUAUCAGCUAGUUGGUGAGGUAAUGGCUCACCAAGGCGACGACGGGUAGCCGGCCUGAGAGGGGGACCGGCCACACUGGGACUGAGACACGGCCCAGACUCCUACGGGAGGCAGCAGUGGGGAAUAUUGCACAAUGGGCGAAAGCCUGAUGCAGCAACGCCGCGUGAGGGAUGAAGGCCUUCGGGUUGUAAACCUCUUUUAGCAGGGAAGAAGCGAAAGUGACGGUACCUGCAGAAAAAGCACCGGCUAACUACGUGCCAGCAGCCGCCGUAA